rfam:Schistosoma rodhaini strain Burundi genome assembly, scaffold: SROB_scaffold0010752
AUCUAAAUGAUGUGUCUCAAACAGGACCAAACUCGUGUCCUAGAU